UACGUAGGGGGCAAGCGUUGUCCGGAAUCAUUGGGCGUAAAGCGCGCGUAGGCGGCCCGGUAAGUCCGCUCUGAAAGUCUAGGGCUCAACCCUGGAAUGCGGGUGGAUACUGCCGGGCUAGAGUCCGGAAGAGGCGAGUGGAAUUCCUGGUGUAGCGGUGGAAUGCGCAGAUAUCGGGAGGAACACCUAUGGCGAAGGCAGCUCGCUGGGACGUUACUGACGCUGAGGCGCGAAAGCGUGGGGAGCAAACGGG
rnacentral:rRNA from 1 species